rnacentral:rRNA from 1 species
ACUCAGGUGUUGUUGGGUAGGGGAGCGUUCUGUAAGCCUGCGAAGGUGGCCUGUGAGGGUUGCUGGAGGUAUCAGAAGUGCGAAUGCUGACAUAAGUAACGAUAAAGCGGGUGAAAAGCCCGCUCGCCGGAAGACCAAGGGUUCCUGUCCAACGUUAAUCGGGGCAGGGUGAGUCGACCCCUAAGGCGAGGCCGAAAGGCGUAGUCGAUGGGAAACGGGUUAAUAUUCCCGUACUUGGUGUUACUGCGAAGGGGGGACGGAGAAGGCUAUGUUGGCCGGGCGACGGUUGUCCCGGUUUAAGCGUGUAGGUGUGUGUUCCAGGUAAAUCCGGUUCACUUUAACACUGAGGCGUGACGACGAGGCACUACGGUGCUGAAGCAACAAAUGCCCUGCUUCCAGGAAAAGCCUCUAAGCAUCAGGUAACAUCAAAUCGUACCCCAAACCGACACAGGUGGUCAGGUAGAGAAUACCAAGGCGCUUGAGAGAACUCGGGUGAAGGAACUAGGCAAAAUGGUGCCGUAACUUCGGGAGAAGGCACGCUGACAUGUAGGUGAAGUGAUUUACUCAUG